GACGAACGCUGGCGGCGUGCUUAACACAUGCAAGUCGAACGGAAAGGCCCCUUUGGGGGUACUCGAGUGGCGAACGGGUGAGUAACACGUGAGUAACCUGCCCUUGACUUCGGGAUAACUUCUGGAAACUGGGGCUAAUACCGGAUAGGAAUCCUUGCUGCAUGGUGGGGGUUGGAAAGCUUCGGCGGUUUUGGAUGGACUCGCGGCUUAUCAGCUUGUUGGUGGGGUAGUGGCUUACCAAGGCUUUGACGGGUAGCCGGCCUGAGAGGGCGACCGGCCACAUUGGGACUGAGAUACGGCCCAGACUCCUACGGGAGGCAGCAGUGGGGAAUAUUGCACAAUGGGCGGAAGCCUGAUGCAGCAACGCCGCGUGCGGGAUGACGGCCUUCGGGUUGUAAACCGCUUUCAGCAGGGGCGAAGCUUGUGGUGACGGUACCUGCAGAAGAAGCACCGGCUAACUACGUG
rnacentral:rRNA from 1 species